rnacentral:rRNA from 1 species
AUGAACAAAAAAUGGGUUCUUGUGUCCGUUAUCAGUCUGACAUCAUCUUUUGCUAGGCAGGCUCAGCAUCCCAUGUGGCGUCAAUUCUUCCUUGGUGAUGGUUUAGAUGAUGGCCUUCAUUCUAUGCAAAUCAGGUCAUCUAGCAUAGACUCAUCCUUUGUGUUUCUGAAAUUCAGCUUUCAUCAUGCCGUUUUCAUCUUGGAGAACACAAGCGGCAACGUACAUGAGGUGCAGUACCUUGAUGAAGAUGGCGCUCUAAGGUCUAUUGUUUCUCUUACAGAGUGUUGGCCACCGGUGCUUCAUUUGCCUAAUCCUGAUGCAACAUAG